GUGUCAGCAGCCACGGUAAGACGGAGGGAGCAAGCGUUGUCCGGAUUUACUGGGCGUAAAGCGCGCGUAGGCGGCUCUUUAAGUCAGAUGUGAAAGUCCAUGGCUCAACCAUGGAAGUGCAUUUGAUACUGGGGAGCUUGAGUACUGGAGGGGAUGGUGGAGUUCCCGGUGUAGAGGUGAAAUUCGUAGAUAUCGGGAGGAAUACCGGUGGCGAAGGCGACCAUCUGGCCAGAUACUGACGCUGAGGCGCGAAAGCGUGGGGAGCAAACAGGAUUAGAUACCCUCGUAGUCC
rnacentral:rRNA from 1 species